GGCAUGUGGGCCAUGCUUCCUUAGUUUGUUUUUUAUCCUUAAAGCACGCCUACUUUAGCCCCUCUGAGGAGAGAGGGAGGCAAGACUAGAGUCCUGCAGACAACCCAUGAUGGAUGAGAAGGAACAAAGGCAGUUCCAUAUUAGCCCAGGAAGCAAUCCAGCUCCCUCCUGUCUCCGAAGUAAACCUACCCCCGAAAAUGCAUGAGGACCAAGGAACUAAGAAGUCAUCUUGUCACAGCAGCACUGUUCCGAGUAGACAUGCGCAAAUAAGGGGACAGGCAUACAAUUACACAUAUCUCAUCCCUAUGAAAACCAACUAUUUUAGCCCGAUCAGGACUUUGGCCUACUUCGGAUCUCUGUCAUCUGUUUCAGGGGACCUUGGUUCUCUUUAAACGUACCUAUAUCUGGCCCCCAGGAAAUCCAGUGCCGUGGGCUACAUCUGCAGCAAUUGUUGAGUCGCUAUGAAGGUGCUGGAGAUCUUAGCUUGGGGCUUCAUGCUUGAUUGAGCAAGCUUGUUAUCCACCGAGGAGUCUCCUAGCACCCUUCUGGGCUCCUUGAUUCAGCCUCUAGAGGAGCUCAUGGUCCAAGCCUCUUCUUGACAUCCAUCCAUCUACCUGACUGGGCCACACCACUUUCCCUGAACACUACAGGGCACCCUCCCCUAUCUCCCACCUCCAUGUGAACCUCAUCCAAGGUCAUCUUUCUGAUGGACACCCUUUGCUCAGCUGGGUCCAAGGGGGAUCAUGGAUCAUGGAAGAGGGCCUUGCCUUUUCACUGGACUGCUCCAGCCCAGCUGCCAUCAAUACCUACUAUCCCAGUUCAGACUGGGAGACUUCCCACUUGGCAAUGAAGCCAUUUUCCCAGACCACAGAGCUGGCCACACUGAUCUCUGGAUUCCUCAUGCCUUGGAGACCCUCUGCCCUUGACACAUGACCUUCCUGCUUUGGUGCACACAGGACUCAUCUACAGACUCACAGGGAGAAACAGGAGAGAGAAGAGAUGGGAGUUGCUCCAGCCCAGGAGCACGGCUAAAAUGCUGAGAACUUUGCUCUCAAUGUGGUCCAACAUGAGUAAUGAGACCUCAUCUGCUAGGAUCGAUGGCUCGUUUCUGUUUCUGAUUAAUCUGUUAUGAAGCAAGCUGUGCCCACACCAGCCCUGCCCUGCAACAGGUAAGCAAGUCACACUUGCCAAGUGUGAAGGCUGAAGGCUGUGAAUAGACAGAGAGCCCUAGAUACUUGUAUAGUACAGAAGGACCUUUUAGGCCACAGGUGCCAUUGAGCCGCAGGCUCGACCUGCAGCCCUCAGGUCUCCUCAUCCAUGGUGGUACACUUGACUAUGGGAGGAUGACUAUGUUCAUGACGCUACACCUCUUGUGGCCAUACUAUUGUCACAAAAGAGCACUGUGAAUAAGCCAAGCCAUAUGGGAUGGUCUGUAUAUGUUCCACCCAGGGAAUGGCACUAUUAGAAGGUGUGGCCCUGUUGGAGUAGCUGUGUCACUGUGGGUGUGUUCUUUAAGAGCCUCAUCCUUGCUGCCUGAAAGUGAGUAUUCUGCUAGUGUCCUUCAGAUGAAG